GUUCAGCGUGGGUUUGUGUCUUGGCGGGCAGGAUUAUUGGGGGAGACGCAGAGCAUCGCGCGGGGUAUUCCCCGCUCCGGGGGAACGCCGGGGGCGCCCGCGCCGUGGCCCUCCUCCCGAGGCGGCGAGCACUCCCCGCGGCCCGGGCCGCGGCCCUCCCGCCCCGGCGGAGCCGCGCGGUGGAUUGUGGGCUGGGGGCUGCGGCGGCCUCGCGGCGGCCUCCGGCGCGGUCUCCCCGGACCUAGCCGGGCCAAGCCGGGCCGGCGGGGUGAGGGGAGCAGUGGAGCAAGGAGCAGAAGCGCUAGGGGUAGUGGUCGCGGCGCGGCGGCGGCUCCUCUGGAGGCCGGGGAUGUGGGAGAGGCGGUGGCAGCAGCGGCGGAGGCGGCGCUGCGGACCCGGGGGAAACUGCUGGCUGACAGGACACCCGGGAGAGACGUGAGGGAGCCGCCGCUGCCGCCUCUCACCCCUGAGCGGAGCUGGGCUCGAGAGGGCGGCCCUGGGCUCCCCCGGCCGACAGGCCAGCCGGCGCGGGGCGGGGGCGGAAAGCCGGGCUCGGGCCUGACGGGGCUGCGGGCGGCGGCGGCCGCGGAGGAGCAGCCUCAGCGAGACGUGGAGGGCUGGAGGCGGCGGCGAUGCACUAGGCCUCGCUCUGGGGCGGCUGCCCGGGACCCGCAGGUAGGUGUCCGGCCGGCCCCCCGCGGCCCCCGGCGCUUCGCGGCCCACCCUCACCCUCACCCUCAGUGGAGAGAGGGUCUGAGACCCCACCCCCUCUGUCUCCUCCCCGGCCCGGAGCGCACAGAGUUUUGGUCACAACUGACCGGCGCUGAAGCGUCUUCCAUUCUCCUCUCGGCCACCUCCUCUUCCUUUUCACGCUCGCUCCGGGACCGGGACCGGGACCGGGACCGGCAGCGGCAGCGGCAGCUGUGCUCCCCUCCUCCAGCCGGCGGCCUCAGCCGCUGCUCUCGCCCCUCUCGCCCCCUCCGGGAUCCGGGCUCUGGAACUUCCACCGCCUUCUUACGUGCUGCCCCCAAACUUUCCCUUUCUGUUUCCAGCCGGGCCCUUAGCCUUCUUUGGAUCCUACUGGAAUAA
rnacentral:lncRNA from 1 species